UAGGGCAGCAGGAGGGAUCUGUGAGUUCCAUUGUGGGUCUCAGGGAGCCAUGUCCAUUCUUGGUCUCUUGUAGGUAGACCCUGAAGUCAAGUGUCGCACCUGAGGUUCCCAUGAGGCCAGACUGAGGUAGGGACCGUCCCUCUUCCCACUGCCCCCUCCCCAGGAGAGUAUUCUCAUGGAAUUGCUGGCAUCACAUGCUUGGCUAAACAUCUGCCUUGAAGAACCAGGCCUCACAUCAAAGACUCAAUGUCUCUCUCAAGUGCGUCCACAUGCAGGGUCCACAUGAGCAGCUGGGUCCCAGCACUCCUGCAGCCUGGCAGAGGCAGCUUCCAUCAAAGGCCUACAGAGUACCGUGGUGGUGAGAAAUGCAGCAGGUCAGUGGAACCCCAGCACAGCAGGGCUGCUGGGACGGGGUGAUGCUGGUCACGGUGCCUGUAAAUGACACGGGACAAAGAUCCAGGGCCUGCAUGACCUCCACCCUCCAACCCGCCUGCCAGUCACUAAGGUACAGUGUAGCCAAGGUCUUUGCUUGCUCUUGUCCCCGUUCUGCUGUGGAUAUCUCUGUGCAUCUCCCAAGCCGAGAGAAGCAGGUUGAGGCCGUUAUCCAAGAACUUGGACUGGAGGUGAUUAACUCCGAUGACCUGAAAGUCACAGUGCAGGUGGCUGCAAGUGUUUCCUCGGGAGAAGUUGCCGCCCACAACUGUCACCAUGGGAUAAAUGUCACUCAUAGGCACAGACACAAAGUAAGUCACCAAAGAUCUACAACAGGAAAUCUCCACUUGGCAGUUUUUGAGGGCAUUCAGAUUUACUAUAGAGUGAGGCAGAGCUCGGAGGCUAAAAAUAGUCUACUCAGCUGGUUGGAUGAGUGCCUGACAUCUCACAACCCAUCAAUGUGCUCCUAACAUCCCAGGGAUCCACAGGGCCACCCUUUGUGGGGCUCUGCCCAGCUACUCACAGUAGCUCCAUGCACAGGAAGCAAGUUGGCACCAUACUUCGGAGGAAAGGGGAGAAGGGGAGCAGAAUCACCCGCCUGUGGUCUGGACGAAUGUGAGCCCCAGUUAGAGCCGGGCACUCACGACACAGACAGCUAAGGCCAGAGGCCUGUCCUGAGUCUAACUGGGACCUUGGGGCACAGAGCUGAGGGUGAUAAGUGGAAUGGGGAAGGCUGUGGCUCACCAUGGCCGUGUGAUAGGGACAGAGAUGAGGACUGAUGACCUGCAGCGGGACAUGUAAGCGGCCUAGGGACAACAGGCAGGUGAGGACGCCAGAGCAAUGCCCAGCAUCAAAGAGUUCAGGGGGCGGAUGGUGGAGUUCUGAGUUCCCGAGAAGAAAGGGAGGGACAAGAUCUAGACACAGCCUGGAUCACACACACCAGAAACAUGUGUGUUGUCAGGAAGGGAUUUGGCUUUGUUUUUCUAAAGGCACAAAAAAGACUUGAAUGCAUUUCUGAUUGACUUGAGAUUAAAAGGCAGAAGAGAAAGGCAGGGAUCAGAGAUGCAGCAGCCACGGGGUGCGGAGCAGAGCCUGGCUCUGCUCAGUCGAACCGGGAGGGCAGAAUGAGGUCACAUUUGGAAUCAGAGUCCGGAUCAUGUGCUGUCUACAGAGACAUUUCAUAAAUUCUGAUUCGUGGCUGAAGAACAAAGGAUGGAUACAAACGCAGACGAGAUGACCAGAGGAGUGACGAAGAUAACCUCCGUCCAAAUGACUCACGGUGCAAAUCACGUAUGUCAACUGAGCUAGCUGCUUCCGGUGACAUCAGAGAGAAGAGACAGCCAGGGGACCCGGAGGCCAGCCAGGGGAGACCUACGAGGUGUGAGUGUGCUCUGUGGGCAUCUCUUCAUGGGCCAGAGCAGACAGGAGGAGAGAGCUCUCACUGUGGUUCAGCCUGUGCCAGGAUCAGCAGUGACGUAAGUGGGCAGCAGGUUCCUGGGGCUCUUAGCUGCACAGUGGGGAAGACACUCAAAGCCCCAGACCUUUGAGGAGCAGACUAGGGUCCUGAAUCCUGUCCUUGCUGAGAAGACCAAGAUGCCAGUGCAGACCCUGGAAGCCACUGGGGCUCACGCCUGAGCUUCUACAGAGCCCCUCUGCACAAGCCUUCUUGGACCUGGGGUCACCCUGUUCUUGAGCCAUCAGAGGUGGGGACACAUUUCCUGGCAGAGAUAAAGCUGCAUCCAGCCGCCAAUAAUAACCAUGCCAGAAUGCCAAGAGACACAGAGCCGGGGCCAGAAGGAAACCAGCAAGAGGACAGGUCAGUGGUGACGUCCAUUCGGAACUCCUACAGAAGGAUCCUAAAAUAGCCAGAAAAGAGAGGCAAAGUAAUUCCACAGUUUCAGACAAGGAUGGCUCAGUAUAUACCAAUCAAUAAAUACAGUGUAACCUAUCUACAGAAGGGAAGAUAACCCCACAUGAUGGUCUCGACAGAUAUAAGGGAUGCAUUUGAUGAGAUUCACCAUCAGAACAAAGUAAAUGUAGUAGAAAUGUGCCUGGGGACAACAAAAGCUAGACCUAGCGAGCGUAUGUCCGCUGUGACACCGAGGAUGGGAACCUGGAAGCUUCUAUCUGAGAGCGGGACCUGACAAGGACUCCAGUGUCUCCACUCUUCCUCAGCAUGACGAGGAAAGUUCAUUGGGGACAGACAGACGUGAAGAGACCUGAGCCAGAAAGGAAAAAGUGACGACGUUAGUCCUUGCGGACGGCAUGGUCUGACAUACGGACCCCUGUAGACACUACUGGAAAUGAUUACACUAAGAUAGUCCAGCAAAGGCUCAGGGCACAGAAUCAACACGCGGAAGUCAGCGGCUCUUCCCUCUGCCAGCCCUGAACCAACUGAAGGACAAGUCGCCCAAGUAAAAACUGAUUUUCCUUGCUGUAUCAGUAACAAAGCCAUUAAGAAUAAGGUAAUUAAAGAUCUUUGCAACAAAAAGCAUGAAGUGUGUGAGACAGAAGUGGAACAGCACGUGGAGGGGAGGUGAACACCCCAUUGUCAGGGCUUCUCCAAGGAUCUGAAGUGACCCACAGAGUCAACGCAAUAGUCCCCACAUUAAUGUCUGUGGGACUCUUCACAGAACAAGGAAGAACAAUCCCCCCAAUGUGUAUGGACCCACCGCAACCACAAAAACCAAAUAAACCCCAAGCAGCUCCCUCAGAGGGCACAAAGUCACUUAGGCAAAAAGAAUGGAGCAGGAGGCGUUGCACUUGACUUUAGAAUACAGUGCAAAGUUGUAGCCAUCAAACAGCAUGGGGUUAGCUUAAAAAAAAAAGAGAGAGAGAUGCAGACACUGGAGCAGAUCCGACAGCCUAGAAGGAAGCCGUAUAUCUACCACCAAAUGGCAUCCAACAACUGUGCUUAAGGUUGGUGGCAGGGGUAGGCUUUUCAACAAACACUGCUGGGAAAGUUGGGUGUUUGUGUGCAAAAGCAUGAAGUCAGACCUGGAUCUCACCAGUUCCUGAGAUCAUCCCCAACUGGGCUAAAGACUUCCCCGUGGGGCCUGCGCAAACAGCACUGUAGAUGCAGUGGUACUCUGGGCUAAAGACUGGAGGAUACGUGAGCAGAAGGCAUCCGAGUACGGCUCGUAGAGGAGCAGAGCGGAGUGGCUUGCCACGAAACACCCUGCCACGUGGGCAGGUGCAGCUGCGGCCCACGAAAAGGGAGAGAGGGAAAGUGGCCAAGCCAUGUUUGAGGAAUAGCCAUUAGGAACUUCUAAAACCAAGAGGAGGCUUGGCUUCCCGAUGUGGGAAGGUCUGCAAGCCCCAGCAGGAUCAAAACAAAGAAAACCACACCCAGACACCUUCUGGAAAAACCCACUGGAAACAAAAGAAAAACCCUAUAAGGCUGGAGGGUAAACUUAGGAGAAGAGGGCUUGACUUGCGCUGAGGCCUGGGUGUGAACCCCAAGAUGGGGGUGGGGGAUGGGACUGUCCAGAAGGCCCGAGAAAAGGAUACAUCAUUAUCUUUCAAAAGCAAAAAAUGAGACUGAAAGCUGAACUCUCGCUGAGACGGAAGCUGCAAGCUAGUGGGGUGACAGUCUAAAGUGCUGAAAUAAAACAGCUUGCCUGUCUGGAUGCCCCAUCAGCGGAGAGCCUCCAGGCGAAGCAGCGCCCGGGAAGCCAUCAAGCAGGAAUUCACCACCACAGGCUCACACUCACGACAUCCUGAAAGAGGUUCUUCCAACGGGAGAUAAUAAUCCGCAGCAGAAACAGGAGAUGUCAGGAGGGAUGAGGGGCGGUGGGGAGGUGCAUCUGUCGAUCGAGACAGGCAUUGUGCGUGCCCCACAACAAUGGGGGAGGCUGGCGAGGCCGGUCUGUUGGACUUAAGUGCAAUGCUGCGGCCACGAGGGUGUGGAGUGAAUGGAGUUAACUGUUGGGACGCUCUAGCAGCAGCCUUGGAAACUGGCCAGGUCUGUAUUCACGUGGAGCUGCUACAGAUUAGCCGAGGCUGAGUGCUGAGAGCUCCGGGAUAACCGCCCCAAAUCGUGAAAGUGUUCAGAGUUAGCAAGUUAGGGCAGGGGAAGUGGGAUAGCAAAAAGACUGCAUUAAUCUCAAAGAAACCGAGAAGCGAGGAAAACGGAGCAUGAAUCAGGUGAGUCAAACAGAAAGCAGAUGCGAGAUGACAGUUAAGACCCAAACCUUCAGAAAUAAUGCUGCCUCGAGCAGGCUCAGGGCCCAGGGAGAAGGCUAAUAAAGUCGGACGGAAUGUGAGAAAUAAAACCCAAGUGUAAGACACUUAAGGAGAUGCUCCCCGAGUCCAAACGUAUCGGAACAGGCUGAAGGAAAAGGGGAAAGCAACGGUAGACUACGCAACCACGAAGCAGGCAGAGCUGGUGACGGUGUCAGCCUAGGUCAGGUGGGUAGGCACAGGCGUGUGCCAAACAGUCAGUGUCUUGAGAGGCCAUUACAGUACCAAGUGAGCACCAAUUACAUGGAACAGAAUCCUAGAAGACCGAGAGAAGGCCCUACCCCCCGCCCCACCACACACAGGCAGACUAACUCGCCUCUCAGUUGCUGCUGAUUUCAUAAGCAAACAAGUCAGCGAGGAGGUAGAACCCAGACUGUCGCAGCUGACAGCCUGACCUAAUUGACAAGUGAUACAGACCACUGCACCCGGCUCAGCGGCACUCACAUCCUUUCAGCGUGUGGGAGGUCGCCAGAGCUGCCAGGUGCCCCUCAUGAAGUCCAGUCUCCCUCACCCCGAUGGCUGCCGUGGCUCACAGUGUGGCCUCUGGCCACCCUGGGGUCAAGGUAGAUACAGUCACAUAAACAUGACUGGAAGUGGCCUGGCUGCUUGGAAAUGACGCCUGAUACCUGUGAAUCAAGUCACAUGAGAAUGCAGAGGCAUUGGAAACCCAGGUCUGGUUGACCUGAAGCCGCGCGUCAGGACUGAGAGACACAGCUAAGGCGGGCUAAUAGGGAAAGUUACGUCUGGAAAUGGUGACGUCUGCAGUGAUGAGCUGGACACCAGGGAUCGAAGCUCCCCAGUGCUGAAGCUGGUGAAAGCGGACAGAAGGAAAUGAGAGAGAAGAAUCAGUAAAACGGAGACAGACGAGCAUGUGUGAGGAAAAUCCUGCUGCAGGCUUUUGCCUCUUAAAAGGGUUCAUAAACUAUCUGUGUGUCUUACCAAAGUGAUUACAGAAAAAAGAAAAGAAUCCAGAUAAAUGAUCUCAGAAAUUUUUUUUUACAAAGGCAGUUGAAUCAUGAGGACAUGCUUCAUAACUUUAAUAAACUUGGUAACUUAAACGGGCAGAUUCCCCUAAAGACACAGCUCAUCAAA